rnacentral:rRNA from 1 species
AUUGAACGCUGGCGGCAUGCCUUACACAUGCAAGUCGAACGGUAACAGGUCUUCGGAUGCUGACGAGUGGCGAACGGGUGAGUAAUACAUCGGAACGUGCCUAGUAGUGGGGGAUAACUACUCGAAAGAGUGGCUAAUACCGCAUGAGAUCUACGGAUGAAAGCAGGGGAUCGCAAGACCUUGUGCUACUAGAGCGGCCGAUGGCAGAUUAGGUAGUUGGUGGGAUAAAAGCUUACCAAGCCGACGAUCUGUAGCUGGUCUGAGAGGACGAUCAGCCAAAGUGUGAAUGGAGCACAGCCCAGACUCCUACGGGAGGCAGCAGUAGGGAAUUUUGGACAAGGGGCGAAAGCCUGAUCCAGCAAUGCCGCGUGCAGGAUGAAGGCCUUAGGCUUGUAAGCUGCUUUUGUACGGAGCGAAAAGCCCCGGGUUAAUACCCUGGGGUCAUGACGGUACCGUAAGAAUAAGCACCGGCUAACUACGUGCCAGCCGCCGCCGUAA